rnacentral:rRNA from 1 species
UGAGGAAUAUUGGUCAAUGGGCGAGAGUUGAACCAGCCAAGUAGCGUGCAGGAUGACGGCCCUCCGGNUUGUAAACUGCUUUUAGUUGGGAAUAAAAAAAGGGACUUGUCCCUUCUUGUAUGUACCUUCAGAAAAAGGACCGGCUAAUUCCGUGCCAGCAGCCGCGGUAAUACGGAAGGUCCAGGCGUUAUCCGGAUUUAUUGGGUUUAAAGGGAGCGUAGNGGAUUGUUAAGUCAGCAGUUAAAGGGUGUGGCUCAACCAUGCAUUGCCGUUGAAACUGGCGACCUUGAGUGCAGACAGGGAUGCCGGAAUUCGUGGUGUAGCGGUGAAAUGCUUAGAUAUCACGAAGAACUCCGAUCGCGAAGGNNGGUGUCCGGGCUGCAACUGACGCUGAGGCUCGAAAGUGUGGGUAUCAAACAGGAUUAGAUACCCUGGUAGUCCACACAGUAAACGAUGUAUACUCGCGGUUUGCGAUAGAUUGUAAGCCNGCCAAGCGAAAGCNUUUAAGUAUACCANCUGGGGAGUACGCCGGGCAACNGUG